UACGUAGGGUGCAAGCGUUGUCCGGAAUUAUUGGCGUAAAGAGCUCGUAGGCGGUCUGUCGCGUCGGCUGUGAAAACCCGGAGCUCAACUCCGGGCCUGCAGUCGAUACGGGCAAACUGGAGUACUGCAGGGGAGACUGGAAUUCCUGGUGUAGCGGUGAAAUGCGCAGAUAUCAGGAGGAACACCGGUGGCGAAGGCGGGUCUCUGGG
rnacentral:rRNA from 1 species